rnacentral:other from 1 species
AAAUUCCUGCGGGGUGCGUGAUAUACAGAUAUUGUGACCCACAUCUGAUUAAAGGAGAUCGACUCACGAGGUGGUUUGCAGACCUCCCGCUCUACGCAUCGGUUGACUUGUCCCGACGUGCAGCGGACGCUGGGAGCAGUAAAGCCGCGGAUAGAUCACCGCCCUGGAAAAAACAGGGUUCCGAAUGCUGUGUACACGGCCUUGCGGGGUUUUG